GUUUUCUCCCCUGUUUCUUGGACGUUUCCUCCCUAAACUUGGCGGUGCUUUAUGCACCGCCUUUUUUUUACUCUGC
rnacentral:sRNA from 1 species